ACGUAGGGUGCGAGAGUUAAUCGGAAUUACUGGGCGUAAAGCGUGCGCAGGCGGUUUUGUAAGACAGUGGUGAAAUCCCCGGGCUCAACCUGGGAACUGCCAUUGUGACUGCAAGGCUGGAGUGCGGCAGAGGGGGAUGGAAUUCCGCGUGUACGAGCGAAAUGUGCAGAGAUGCGGAGGAACACCGAUGGCGAAGGCGCUAUCCUGGUUCUGCACUGACGCUCAUGGACGUAAGCGUGGGGAGCAAACGG
rnacentral:rRNA from 1 species